GAUGAACGCUAGCGGCAGGCCUAAUACAUGCAAGUCGAACGGUGUCUUCGGACAUAGUGGCGCACGGGUGCGUAACACGUAUGCAACCUACCUUACAUUGGGGGAUAGCCUUUCGAAAGAGAGAUUAAUACCGCAUAAGACAGUAACAUGGCAUCAUGUAGCUGUUAAAGAUUUAUCGAUGUAAGCUGGGCAUGCGUCCAAUUAGUUAGUUGGUGAGGUAACGGCUCACCAAGACGAUGAUUGGUAGGGGAACUGAGAGGUCAAUCCCCCACACGGGCACUGAGAUACGGGCCAGACUCCUACGGGAGGCAGCAGUAGGGAAUAUUGGGCAAUGGGCGCAAGCCUGACCCAGCCAUGCCGCGUGCAGGAAGAAGGCGUUCUGCGUUGUAAACUGCUUUUAUAUAGGAAGAAACGACCCUUGCGAGGGGCAUUGACGGUAUUAUAUGAAUAAGCACCGGCUAACUCCGUGCCAGCCGCCGCCGUAACAC
rnacentral:rRNA from 1 species